rnacentral:rRNA from 1 species
GGAUUAGAUACCCUGGUAGUCCACGCCGUAAACGAUGUCUACUAGUUGUUGGGGAACUUGAUUCCUUAGUAACGAAGCUAACGCGAUAAGUAGACCGCCUGGGGAGUACGGUCGCAAGAUUAAAACUCAAAUGAAUUGACGGGGGCCCGCACAAGCGGUGGAGCAUGUGGUUUAAUUCGAAGCAACGCGAAGAACCUUACCAGGUCUUGACAUCCUGCGAACUUGGUAGAGAUAGCUUGGUGCCUUCGGGAACUCUGAGACAGGUGCUGCAUGGCUGUCGUCAGCUCGUGCCG